rnacentral:lncRNA from 1 species
AUUAUUCCCAAAAAAUGGGUUCAGACAUUCAGUAGCAUGACAAAGCAAAAGGAGAUCCACUCACAUAUGGACUCUUCAAAUGCUAGACAAGUACAAAAGAAAUUAGUGCCUAAUCUAAGAUAGUUCUGGCAUAGACCUUGUGCAAUUGUUGCUUAUUAGUGCCUCGCAAAAUAUAGUCACAGCAGGGAGCAGAAGUAAGCAGCAGGGCAAAGACGACAAUCACACUUGAGAUAGAAAAUAACCAAGCUGCUAAUUAGCAGCCAAUUAUUUGCCUCUUGGAAAAGAAAGGGGAGAAGUAAAUCACCUUGGAUGAGAACUAAUUAAUUAUCAAGCUGCUGUAGCUGCCAAACAUGCCACAACUAAAUACAUGGAUUCUUCCAAUGUAGCUCGCAUAGGCACCUGAGUACAAAAAAAUAGACAGAAUAAUGCAUCAAUUAAAAGGUGCCAAAACAAGCAAAGUAUAUCACGAACAAAAACAAAUGAGGAAAGGGUUCAUACAGAGAGGGGAAAGAGGCAGUGGAAGGUGAGAAUACCAGCA